CCUACGGGUGGCAGCAGUCGGGAAUAUUGCGCAAUGGAGGAAACUCUGACGCAGUGACGCCGCGUAUAGGAAGAAGGUUUUCGGAUUGUAAACUAUUGUCGUUAGGGAAGAUAAAAGACUGUACCUAAGGAGGAAGCCCCGGCUAACUAUGUGCCAGCAGCCGCGGUAAUACAUAGGGGGCAAGCGUUAUCCGGAUUUACUGGGUGUAAAGGGAGCGUAGACGGAAAGGCAAGUCAGAAGUGAAAGCCCAAGGCUCAACCAUGGGACUGCUUUUGAAACUGUCAAACUAGAGUACGGGAGAGGUAAGAGGAAUUCCUAGUGUAGCGGUGAAAUGCGUAGAUAUUAGGAGGAACACCAGUGGCGAAGGCGUCUUACUGGACCGAAACUGACGUUGAGGCUCGAAAGCGUGGGGAGCAAACAGGAUUAGAUACCCCAGUAGUC
rnacentral:rRNA from 1 species